AUAAAAAUAAGUUAAAAUUAAAACUAUUUAAUUUACAAUUAAAAAUUAUAUAAAAUUAUUUUUUAUA
rnacentral:tRNA from 1 species